AGGCAUCUCUACCGUCUGGAAAGUUUUUCGGUCUGGGAUGGACUCGCGGCCUAUCAGCUAGUUGGUGAGGUAAUGGCUCACCAAGGCGACGACGGGUAGCCGGCCUGAGAGGGCGACCGGCCACACUGGGACUGAGACACGGCCCAGACUCCUACGGGAGGCAGCAGUGGGGAAUAUUGCACAAUGGGCGAAAGCCUGAUGCAGCGACGCCGCGUGAGGGAUGAAGGCCUUCGGGUUGUAAACCUCUUUCAGCAGGG
rnacentral:rRNA from 1 species